CGGCCUGCAGUUGGAACAGCACAAACACAUGAAAAGAAAGAUGAGAUGUCACAUUAGUGUUGUUUCUUGUCUUGGCUAUGCUGCACAUUGGCGCUUCCAAUAUCUUGAAUGACAGGGCAUUCUCGGAUCAUGCAGCUUUAUAUACUUCGGGGGCAUGAAAAGAAAUCUAAUGCAAGUAUUAGCAAUAAGCAGCCAGAGGGUGGUGUAUCA